UACAGAGGUCUCAAGCGUUGUUCGGAUUCAUUGGGCGUAAAGGGUGCGUAGGUGGCGCGCUAAGUCAGGUGUGAAAUUUCGGAGCUUAACUCCGAAACUGCAUUUGAUACUGGCGUGCUUGAGGACUGGAGAGGAGACUGGAAUUCAUGGUGUAGCAGUGAAAUGCGUAGAGAUCAAGCGGAACACCAGUGGCGAAGGCGAGUCCCUGGACAACACCUGACACUGAGGCACGAAAGCUAGGGGAGCAAACAGG
rnacentral:rRNA from 1 species